rnacentral:lncRNA from 1 species
UUGAAGACCUUUGUUUUACUUUCAGAUAUAUUUUUCUGCUAUCAAAUAUUUUCAAUGCUUUCUUUGCAGUCCAAAAGCCAGUUGUGUUCCUACACCGUGGCGUGCUUGUGACUGCCAAUCUUCCAAGCAAUAGCCUAGGCUUCCCUGGCAGAUGCUGGUUAUGAUGUGUGGAUGGGGAACGACAGAGGACUACCUGGUCCAGGAAACACUUAUACCUAGAUCCAGAUUCUAAAGAAUUCUGGGCUUGCAGCUUUUGGAGCAUUUUCAAUAAAUCCACAACUGGCUGAAAAGAUUAAAAUUUAUUUUGCACUGGCUCCAGCUACUUCUAUUAAAAACACAAUUUUAAAGCAUCCUCUUACUUUCACCAAACCAACACACAAUUAAGGUUUGUGAUUCAUUAUAGUAUAUGCUUAUAGUUUUCAAAAUCAGGAAAUGUGAAUAAUACUGAAGAAGAGAGAUGCUUACAUAGGCUCCUGCUGGAUUAAAAAGUUCCAUUUUCCUCACUGACUUGGAUAUGUAAU